rnacentral:rRNA from 1 species
GACGAACGCUGGCGGCGUGCCUAAUACAUGCAAGUAGAACGCAGUUGCGAACGGGUGAGUAACGCGUAGGUAACUGCCUGGUAGCGGGGGAUAACUAUUGGAAACGAUAGCUAAUACCGCAUACUACCAGAUGGACCUGCGUUGUAUUAGCUAGUUGGUGGGGUAACGGCUCACCAAGGCAACGAGACAUAGCCGAGUCGAGGAGGUGCACGGCCACAAUGGGACUGAGACACGGGUCAGGCUUCGUCGGGAGGCAGCAGUUGGGAAUUUUCGGACAUGGGGGGAACCCUGACCGCGCAACGCCGGGGUAGUGAAGAAGGUUUUCGGAUCGUAAAGCUCUGUUGUUAAGGAAGCGUUACUUAACCAGAAAGGGACGGCUAACUACGUGCCAGCAGCCGCGGUAAUUC